UAGAAAAAUGUCAAGGAAAUUACUGCUUGUGCUCUCUCCUAGGAUUGUUAGGUUUCAGGUCUCACCCUUAGGUCCUUAAUCUAUUUUUAAUUUAUUUUUGUGUAUGGUGUAAGAACAUGGUGCAGUUUCAUU